rnacentral:lncRNA from 1 species
UGCAGCUUUGCUUCGGUGCGUCAAUCGCUUCUUCCGGCGAGUUUCCGGCGAACUUCCGUCGAUCAUCCGAUGAACCCUCGGUGAUGCUUCUGCGGACUUCUGGCAAACUCCUGGACUUUGCGACGAUCCACUUGGCAAGUUCCGACGAGCUUCGCUUGGCAAGCUUUUGGACUUCUCGGAUCUGUUCUCGCAGAACCUCCGACGACCGUCCGAACUUCCGUCGAACUCUC